rnacentral:rRNA from 1 species
CAAAUCUGGAGAUAGCUGGUUCUCCCCGAAAACUAUUGAGGUAGUGCCUCGUGUGUCGCUCCAGGGGGUAGAGCACUGUUUUGGCUAGGGGGACAUGGAGUCUUACCAAACCAAGGCAAACUCCGAAUACCUGGAAGCGUGAGCACGGGAGACAGAGCACCGGGUGCUAACGUCCGGACUCAAAAGGGAAACAACCCAGACCGCCGGCUAAGGUCCCAAAUAACAGCUAAGUGGAAAACGAAGUGGAAAGGCCGUGACAACCAGGAAGUUGGCUUAGAAGCAGCCAUCCUUCAAAGAAAGCGUAAUAGCUCACUGGUCGAGUCCUUCUGCGCGGAAGAUGUAACGGGGCUAAGCUGUUAACCGAAGCCGCGGAUGCACUGGUUAUCCAGUGCGUGGUAGGGGAGCGUUCUGUAAGUCUGCGAAGGCGGUUCGAGAGGACUGCUGGAGAUAUCAGAAGUGCGAAUGCUGACAUGAGUAACGUUAAAGCAGGUGAAAAGCCUGCUCGCCGUAAGCCCAAGGAUUCCUGCUCUACGUUCAUCGGAGCAGGGUGAGUCGGCUCCUAAGGUCAGGCCGAAAGGCGUAGCCGAUGGGAAUCAGGUUAAUAUUCCUGAACCUGCGUCAGAUGCGAUGGGGGGACGGAGCAUGGAAGAUCAUCCGGGUGUUGGAAGUCCCGGUUGUUUAGCGUAGGAGGUCUGCAGGCAAAUCCGCAGACGCAUCUCCAAGGCAAAGACACGUGCCGCUACGGCGGCGAAGUGAUCGGAAGUGCUUCCAAGAAAAGCCUCUAAGCACCAGUCUGAUGCGGACCGUACCGCAAACCGACACUGGUGGGCGAGCUGAAUAUGCUCAGGCGCUUGAGAGAACUCGGGAGAAGGAACUCGGCAAAUUGACACCGUAACUUCGGGAUAAGGUGUGCCUUUGUAGCGUGAAGAGAGAAACACUCGGAGCGUGAAGAGGCCUCAGAGAAUCGGUGGCUGCAACUGUUUAUUAAAAACACAGCACUCUGCAAAGACGAAAGUCGACGUAUAGGGUGUGAUGCCUGCCCGGUGCUGGAAGAUUAAGUGAUGGGGUGAGAGCUCCUGAUCGAAGUCCCAGUAAACGGCGGCCGUAACUAUAACGGUCCUAAGGUAGCGAAAUUCCUUGUC